AACGCAUAUUGCACUCUCUGGUAAUCCGGGGAGUAUGCCUGUUUGAGGGUCAGUAAAAAUAAAAAAUCUAUCAUGAAUCCUUUUUUAAUUUAUUUUAUUAAAUCGGAACAUGGAAUUGGAUCUUUCAAAGAUUUUUCAUUAUUUUUGAUGAUCUUAAAUUUAUGUUAUAUGGCUAUAUAUAAACUGAACCAAAAAGAGCAAUUAUUUAUAAUUAAUCUCAUUUAGUGAUGUUUUAUUAAGCCAAAUAUGAUUUAUUUUGAUAUUUAAUAUUAAAAUAAAUCAUAAACAUAUUUUAAAAAUGACCUCAAAUCAGGUAAGAGUACCCGCUGAACUUAA
rnacentral:misc_RNA from 1 species